GUGCCAGCCGCCGCGGUAAUACGGAGGGUGCAAGCGUUGUCCGGAAUCACUGGGCGUAAAGGGUACGCAGGCGGGGCAGCAAGUCGGAGGUGAAAGCCCGUGGCUCAACCACGGAACUGCCUCCAAAACUACUGGUCUAGAGUUCGAGAGAGGUGAGUGGAAUUCCGAGUGUAGAGGUGAAAUUCGUAGAUAUUCGGAGGAACACCAGUGGCGAAGGCGGCUCACUGGCUCGAUACUGACGCUGAGGUGCGAAAGUGUGGGGAGCAAACAGGAUUAGAAACCCCAGUAGUCC
rnacentral:rRNA from 1 species